rnacentral:lncRNA from 1 species
AGAACUGCAGAUAGUACGGUGGAGCAGGGAUGCCUGAGCACAAGUAGCGAGUUCCGAGUGACUUUAGGAAAUGCUUCCCCCCCUUCCUGGGCAUGCAAACAAGACUCUGCACCUGCACCGCAGUUUGUUCCGGAGAGAAGCCUCGGCUUCGCCCUGCAGGGACGAGGAACUAGAGCAAGAAGCAGCAUUUGAAAAUUAUUCUCAGAAUGAACACAGACUUCCUUAAAGCAACAUGUCCAGGCUGACUUCAGUCCUUCAUGUAGAAGACUCUCCCUGGUCUGAGAAGAGCAACUGUAUUUGAAUUUGCAAUAAAAGAGCUUCCUAUGUAGUUUCAACGAAAAUGAACUACUGGAUUAUCCUGGAGCCAAGGCAAUUACAGGAAAGUAGGUACUGGUGACAGACAGAGAGUCUACUGGGACCCAAUCAGUAUUCUGAGUUGGUGGUGAUCAGAAAACCUGAAAGAGCAUUGGAAGGAAGAAGAAGGCCAAGUUGAACUCAUCAACUCACUUCACUCACCAAUCACUCUCUUCAGAGUUAAAGCACUCCAUCCUGGACCGUGCCUCCUUUGAGGAUCAAGGAGUUCCAAGUUGAAGCAUUCCUUCCAGGAAGAGGUGGGAGGAUCAUGAGGUUCAGAAAGCCAACAAAAUUCAUAAGUAUGAGAAAGCUGAAGCGAAAUCCACAAAGACUACAGAACAGUAAACAGCUCCUGGGGGAAGAGACUCUCCCACCAGUUUAAGGGUCGGUACUGCAUGUUCAUGCAGAGAAUUCUAAGGAUAUAGGCUUCAUGAGUCACCACCCCCAGUGAUGUGUGGGUUUUCAGUGACUUGGCUGACAUUGAGUCAUCUCUGCUUCUGUAAGUAACCUCUUACCUAUACUGGGAAACCCCUAAUAAACUCAUAUAUUUUCCAAGUUUGA